AGUUCUUCAGUGGCAAGCUUUAUGUUUAUGGAACAAGCUAAAGCUGCCAGUUGAAGAACUGU
rnacentral:pre_miRNA from 1 species